rnacentral:rRNA from 1 species
UACGUAGGGUGCGAGCGUUUGUCCGGAAUUAUUGGGCGUAAAGAGCUUGUAGGCGGUUUGUCGCGUCUGCUGUGAAAAUCCGGGGCUCAACCCCGGACUUGCAGUGGGUACGGGCAGACUAGAGUGUGGUAGGGGAGACUGGAAUUCCUGGUGUAGCGGUGAAAUGCGCAGAUAUCAGGAGGAACACCGGUGGCGAAGGCGGGGUCUCUGGGCCGAUACUGACGCUGAUGCACGAAAGCUAGGGGAGCAAACAGG